GGGCGAAUGGCUUAGUGGUAAAGCGCCUCUUUAGCAUUGAUGGGCUUUCAUUCCAGCUUAGAGGAGGUCCGGGGUUCGAUUCCCCGUUUGUCCA
rnacentral:tRNA from 1 species